GCUGGGUGUAUUUCCUGGUCGACGGGUCAGCAUCAGUUUCGAUCGCCGUACAAGGGCAAGGGGAACGUGGCACUCUUCGGAGUGUGUUAUAGCCUUUCGUCGUAUGCGGCGGUUGGGGAUGGGGGAAUUCACCCGGCCUUCGGUUUGUGCUUAGGAUGCUGGCAUAAUGGCCUUAAGCGACCCGUCUUGAAACACGGACCAAGGAGUCUAACAUGCCUGCGAGUGUUUGGGUGGCAAACCCGAGCGCGCAACGAAAGUGAAAGUCGAGACCUCUGUCGUGGAGGGCAUCGACGCCCGGACCUGAGUCUUUGACGACGGAUCUGCGGUAGAGCAUGCAUGUUGGGACCCGAAAGAUGGUGAACUAUGCCUGAAUAGGGUGAAGCCAGAGGAAACUCUGGUGGAGGCUCGUAGCGAUUCUGACGUGCAAAUCGAUCGUCGAA
rnacentral:rRNA from 1 species